rnacentral:rRNA from 1 species
AGCAGCCGCGGUAAUUCCAGCUCCAAUAGCGUAUAUUAAAGUUGCUGCAGUUAAAAAGCUCGUAGUUGAAUUUCGGGACUAAUAUGUCGGUCGUGCCUCGGUACGUACUGGCUUAUUGGUUUCUCCUUUCUGAAGAACCAUGAUGUCAUUUAUUUGGUGUUAUGGGGAGUUAGGACUGUUACUUUGAAAAAAUUAGAGUGUUUAAAGCAGGCUUUAGCUUGAAUACAUUAGCAUGGAAUAAUGAAAUAGGACGUUCGAACCUAUUUUGUUGGUUUCUAGGAUCAACGUAAUGAUUAAUAGGGAUAGUUGGGGGCAUUAGUAUUCAAUUGUCAGAGGUGAAAUUCUUGGAUUUAUUGAAGACUAACUACUGCGAAAGCAUUUGCCAAGGAUGUUUUCAUUAAU